rnacentral:lncRNA from 1 species
GUUCUCUUAAUUUGGGAUAGAAUUUGCUGUUGGUGCCUACGUGACAAAAGACUUAGAGUUAGAUCACUUAUAUGAAUUUAUUAAAUUAUUUUAAAAUAAAAUAAAAUCUACUCAAAAAGUUUAAGGACCAAAAUAUUUAAGCUCUAAUCUUAACCUCAUGCUCUACCAUCUUUAUGGUUCCACACGAGCCCACCCACUCCCAAUCCCAUA